rnacentral:rRNA from 1 species
AUUGAACGCUGGCGGCAGGCCUAACACAUGCAAGUCGAACGGUAACAGGAAACAGCUUGCUGUUUCGCUGACGAGUGGCGGACGGGUGAGUAAUGUCUGGGAAACUGCCUGAUGGAGGGGGAUAACUACUGGAAACGGUAGCUAAUACCGCAUAACGUCGCAAGACCAAAGAGGGGGACCCUCGGGCCUCUUGCCAUCGGAUGUGCCCAGAUGGGAUUAGCUUGUUGGUGGGGUAACGGCUCACCAAGGCGACGAUCCCUAGCUGGUCUGAGAGGAUGACCAGCCACACUGGAACUGAGACACGGUCCAGACUCCUACGGGAGGCAGCAGUGGGGAAUAUUGCACAAUGGGCGCAAGCCUGAUGCAGCCAUGCCGCGUGUAUGAAGAAGGCCUUCGGGUUGUAAAGUACUUUCAGCGGGGAGGAAGGGAGUAAAGUUAAUACCCUUGCUCAUUGACGUUACCCGCAGAAGAAGCACCGGCUAACUCCGUG